AUGCAUGUCUCAGUACAAGCCGUCCUGUACGGUGAAACCGCGAAAGGCUCAUUAAAUCAGUUAUGGUUCCUUAGAUCGUACCCACGUUACAUGGAUAACUGUGGUAAUUCUAGAGCUAAUACAUGCCGACAGAGCUCCGACCAGCGUGUCUACGUUCGGCGGUUCGCCCGUCGUCGUCGGCCGUUCGGAAGGAGCGCUUUUAUUAGAUCAAAACCGGCCAAACGUCUCGGUCGCGUUCCGCGUGACCGGGCGUAAGUGGCCCGCGCAAAGACUUGACGACUCUGAAUAACUUCGAGCUGAUCGCACGGUCCUAGUACCGGCGACGUAUCUUUCAAAUGUCUGCCUUAUCAACUGUCGACGGUAGAUUCUACGCCUACCGUGGUGGUAACGGGUAACGGGGAAUCAGGGUUCGAUUCCGGAGAGGGAGCCUGAGAAACGGCUACCACAUCCAAGGAAGGCAGCAGGCGCGUAAAUUAUCCACUCCUA
rnacentral:rRNA from 2 species